rnacentral:rRNA from 1 species
UACGGGGGGAGCAAGCGUUAAUCGGAAUUACUGGGCGUAAAGUUGUGCGCAGGCGGCCGCGCAAGUCGAGUGUGAAAUCCCCGAGCUUAACUUGGGAAUUGCGCUCGAAACUACGUGGCUGGAGUGUGGCAGAGGAAGGUGGAAUUCCACGUGUAGCGGUGAAAUGCGUAGAGAUGUGGAGGAACACCGAUGGCGAAGGCAGCCUUCUGGGCCAACACUGACGCU